CAGCAUUUUCUAAAUUUGAAUUUAAAACAUGUGAUAACUAGCAACGUAAAAUGAUAAUUAUACAACCCAAAAGAAUAGUCUACCAAUGUGUGUGCCAAGACCUGUUGUCACAAGUAUAUGGGCAUCUAGUAGAAUAUACAAAAGAAUACAUCUACCCUACUGUUUGAAAUGGAAUAGACCGUAAAAAACAAAAGAGAGACUCUAUCAUGUUGCUGAAUGGCAUAGGAAGGGAGCAGCUCACCGUGGAAUCUCGGCCAACUAUCAAGAAUGCGCACCAGACGGGUAGCCAGAUGCACCUGCCUCAGAACCUGUUCAAUUAAGUACAUAAGCAUAGUAUGAGUACAUAAAUAAUAUGUACCCAGUAAGUAUCUAGUCUAACCUCGAAGAAGUAGUGACGAGGGGUCGACUUGACACUUACUAGGGUCAAUAAUAUGAUAAUAUGAGGUUCAAUAUUUCAGUUCAUAAUGUACAUAGAUAGAAACAAGUUCAAAUAAGAAAUAAUAUUGAAAACCUUCUCAUCAAUUAAUAAGUCUAGGCAUUUCCUUCUUUUAAAACGUGUAGUCUUUCAAACAAUAAAUCAUACGGAUUAUAAGAGGUCCCGGUUCCAUUAUCACACAAUUUCCGCCGAGGACGUUCGACCUGAUCCAACAUAAAAGUAAAUUGUGUACUACCGAGGGUCGAACGGCCCGAACCAUAUAAUAUACAAUUACCAAUCUGUCGAGGCGAACGGCCCGCUCCCACUCCCAUGAGAGUAGUGGAAACAAUCACCCCGCUCGCGGAAUAUAUUUGUGACGCGGUUAAGUAUAAAUACAACUUAAAUGCUUCUUUAAUUCUUUUCAAAUUAAUUAUUUACUUGGAACCCUGAAAUCAUAACCUUUUAAUCGAGGUUCAAUUAAUGAACUCUACAAUUUAUAAUCGUAUAACAAUACCCAUAAAUCAUGGUGUAAGCCUAGAACUACCUGGACAUAAUAGGAAUAGUAGCCUCGUACGGACUCUCGACACUUCGUGCGUACGUGGCCCCCCACAAUAAAAUCACGUAUUCAUUAAGUUCACCUAUGGGGAUAUUUCCCUCUAACAAGGUUAGAAAAGAGACUUAACUCGCUUCACGGCUUACUUUCCGGUCCAAACUUAAGCCCAAACCCUUAUUUUGGUGCCAAACAAUCCAAAACUAUCCAAAUAGCAUAGAAACUAAUCAAUAUAGGCUUAAAAGUUCAUAUCCCAACCAUUAGGGUGAUUCCCCAAUCCAAAUUGCAAGAUUCCUAAAAUUCGAACUCGGGCCCACGUGCCCGGAUUCCGAAAUAUUUUGAAGAAAGCUGUUACCCAUAGCCUAAGGAUCAAGAAUAUAUGAUUGCUCCAUUCCAUAAUAAAUUUCGUGGUUAAAUCUUAUUUUUAUCAAAACCUUAGGUUUUUACUCAAAUCUCAUGAUUUUCACUAAUUUUUGUGUGUUAAUCUACCCAAAACCCAAGUAUUAAACUCACACUAAGUAGAAAUAACUUACCUCACAAUGCUAGGUUGAAAUCCCCUCUUUGAAAGCUCCCAAAUCGCCCAAGUGUAGAAGUGAAAUGAAAUAAAUGGCCUAAGUCCCGUUUUUAAAAGAUGUGUCCAGGCCUUAUGAUGUCACAUUUGCGACAUCCGGCUCGCAAAUGCGAAGUCGCAAUUGCGACAAAACAUUCGCAAAUGCGAAAUGGCCCUUCCUCUGCCUUGAUCGCAAAUGCGAUAGAGGGGUUGCAAAUGCGGACCCUACUGGGUUUGCAAACGCGAAGAGAAUGUCGCAAAUGCGACCACUGCUCCCAGCUAGGCUCCAUCGCCAAUGUGAUGCUUUCCUCGCAAAUGCGAGUUCGCAAAUGCGAACAUUUCCUCGCAUUUGCGAGACCUUCAACCUUGCCUAGAAAUACAAGAAAACUGGGGUGUUUUUCAUCCCCAACCCACGUCUGAAACUCACCUGAGCCCUCGGGGCUCCACUCCGACUACUCACACAAGUCCAACAACAUUGUACAAACUUUCUUGAGCGAUCAAAUCACUGAGAUAACAUCUAAAACCAUGGAUUUAACACCAAAAUGCAUGAAAUCCUUAAGAACUUUUAAAAUUCUGAUUUUUACAACCGGACAUCCGAAUCAUGUCAAAUCAGUCUCGUUUCUCACCAAAUUUCACAGACAAGACUUAAAUGUUAUAUUGGACCUGUAUCGGGCUCCGAAACCAACAUAUGGGCUUAAUACCAACAUGAUCAAACAUUAUUCAAUUUCUUUAAAUCCUUAGAAUUUCAGUUUAACAAUUUUUAACAAAAAGUUCAUUACUCGGGCUAGGGACAUUGGAAUUCAAUUACGGGCAUACGCCCAGGUCCCAUAUUUUACUACGGACCCUCCAGGACCGUCAAAAUAUAAGUCCGGGUCCGUUUACUAAAAAUGUUGACCAAAGUCAAACUUAGUCUUUUAAGCAAAUCUUAAGGAAUCAAGUGUUCCGAUUUCAAUCCAAACUCUUCCAAAUCCCAAACCAACCAUCCCCGCAAGUCGUAAAUCAGUUAAAGCAAGUACGGGAAGUCUUAUUUAGGGGAACAGGGUUCUACAAAGCAAAACAACCAGUAGGGUCGUUACAUUCUCCACCUCUUAAACAAACUUUCGUCCUCGAACGGACAUAGAAAAUUACCUGAGCUAGGGAAAAGAUGGGGGAUAUUGCUCCGCAUGUCCUCCUCGGACUCCCCAGGGUCGCCUCCUCAACCUGGGUUGGGCCCCNNNNNNNNNNNNNNNNNNNNNNNNNAAAACAACCAGCAGGGUCGUUACAUUCUCCACCUCUUAAACAAACUUUCGUCCUCGAACGGACAUAGAAAAUUACCUGAGCUAGGGAAAAGAUGGGGAUAUUGCUCCGCAUGUCCUCCUCGGACUCCCAGGUCGCCUCCUCAACUGGUUGGCCCCUCCACUAGACCUUUAUCGUGGAAAUCCUCUUGGAUAUCAACUGGUGAUCCUGCCUAUCAAUAAUAGCAAUUGGCUCCUCCUCAUAACCCAGACUCUCAUCCAGCUGAACAGUACUAAAGUCUAAACAUGAGACAAGUCGGCGUGAUACCUACGAAGCAUAGACACAUGAAAAACUAGGUGAACUCCCGAUAAGCUGGUAAGUAAGGCAAGCUCAUAAGCAACCUCCCCAACUCGCCUGAACACCUCAAAUGGGCCAAUAAACUCUGGGCUCAACUUGCCCUUCUUCCCGAAUCUCAUGAUACCUGUCAUCAGCGAGACUUUCAAGAGGAUCUUCUCGCCGACCAUGAAUGAUACAUCACGCGCCUUCUGAUCCGUGUAACUCUUUUGUCUGGACUGAUCUAUGUGAAGUGUUUCCUGAAUCAACUUUCCUUCUCUAAGGCAUCUCUUACCAAAUCUGUACCAUACAACUUAGCCUCUCCGGGAUCAAACCACCCGAUAGGAGAACGGCAUCGCCGACCGUAUAAAGCCUCAAAUAGGGCUAUCUCGAUGCUGGAUUGGUAACUAUUGUUGUAAGCAAACUUGGCCAAAGGCAAGAACUAAUCCCAUUGUCCUCCAAAGUCAAUCACACAUGCUCUAAGCAUGUCCUUCAAAAUCUGAACUGUUCGCUCCAACUGUCCGUCGAUCUGAGGAUGAAAUAUUGUGUUGAGCUCCACAUGGGCCCCCAACUCACUCUGAACGGCUCUCCAAAAAUGGGAAGUGAACUGAGGGCCUCUAUCAGAUAUGAUGGAAACAGGCACCCCGUGCAACCAGACUAUCUCUCGAAUGUAAAUAUGAGCCAACCUCUCUGGAGUUUAAGUAGUCACAACCGAAAUAAAGUGUGCCGACUUGGUCAACCUAUCAACAAUGACCCACACUGCAUCAAACUUUCGCAAGGUCUGGGGCAACCCAACUAUGAAAUUCAUAAUGCGCUCCCAUUUCAACUCAGGUAUAGGCAUCUGCUAAAGUAGGCCACCUGGCCUCUAGUGUUCAUACUUAACCUGCUGGCAAUUCAAACACCUAGCCACAUACUCCACUAUGUCUUUCUUCAUCCGUCGCCACCAAUAAUGUUGCCUCAAGUUACGAUACAUCUUUGUAGCACACGGAUGAAUGGAAUAUCGUGAACUGUGUGCCUCCUCUAGGAUCCUCUCCCUCAGGCCAUCAACAUUAGGAACACAUAGGCGACCCUGGAGUCACAAAACACCAUCCUUGCCAAUAGAAACCUCUUUGGCACUACCCUAUAGACUGUCUCUCUAAAAACUGCCAAAUGUGGAUCAUCGAACUGUCGGGCCUUGAUCUACCCCAAUAAUAAAGACUGAGCAACCACACACGUAAGGACUCGGUUGGGCUCUAAAAUAUCCAACCUCACAAGUCUGUUAGCCAAGGACUGAAUGUCCAAAGCUAGUGGCCUCUCCUCUGCUAGAAUGAAUGCCAAGCUAUCCAUACUCUCUACUUUCCUGCUUAAGGCAUCCGCGGCCAUAUUUGCCUUGCCAGGAUGAUAAAGAAUGGUGAUAUCAUAAUUCUUCAGUAACUCAAGCCAUCUACGCUACCUCAAAUUGAGAUCUCUCUGCUUGAACAAAUGUUGUAAGAUAUGAUGAUCAGUAUACACCUCACAUGACACCCCAUACAGAUAAUGCCUCCAUAUCUUAAGAGCAUGAACAAUCGCGGCCAACUCUAAAUCGUGCACAGGAUAAUUCUUCUCAUGAAUCUUCAGCUGACGCGAAACAUAUGCAAUAACUUGCCCCUCCUGCAUCAAUACACAACCCAAGCCAAUGCGUGAAGUGUCACAAUACAUAGUAUGCAUCCCCAAACCGGAAGGUAACACUAGGACUGGUGUUGCAGUCAAAGCUGUCUUAAGCUUCUGAAAGCUCGCCUCACAAUCAUCGGAUCAACGAAAAGGAGCAGCCUUCUGGGUCAAUCUAGUUAGAGGUGAUGCAAUAGAUGAAAAUCCCUGCACGAAUCGACGGUAAUAGCUUGCUAAUCCCAGGAAACUCCUGAUAUCGGUCACUGAAGUAGGACGUGGACAGCUCUGAACUGCCUCAAUAUUCUUGGGAUCCACCUUAAUACCCUUUCCUGACAAAAUAUGCCCCAAGAAUGCCAUUGACUCUAGACAAAACUCACAUUUGGAGAACUUAGCAUAUAGCUUCUGCUCUCGCAAGUUCUGAAGCACUACUCUCAAAUGUUGCUCGUGCUUGUGAUGACCCAAAAGGUCAUCACUCAUUUUUAAAAGGCAUUCUACAUUCUGAGGCUUUAAAAACCUCUUUUAGCAUCACCUCGAUUUGUGUGCGUAGUCCGGGCGCAUAGCCGAAAAGAUUAUAUGUGAAAAUCUAUGAAAAAUGAUAAAUUUUGAUUAUAAAAGUAAUUAAUUUGACUUCGGUCAAUGUUUUGGAUAAACGGAUCUGGACCCGUGAUUUGACAGUCCUGGAGGGUCCGUAUGAAAAUAUGGGACGUGGGCGUAUGCCCGGAAUCAAAUUCCGAGGUCCCAAGCCCGAGAAAUAAAUUUUUAAAGAAAAUUAUUUUCUGAAACUGUUUAAAGGAUUUGGAAAUGAAUUUUGAUUAGAACAUGUUGGUAUCGGGCCUGUAUUUUGGUUCCGGCGCCCGGUACAGGUCUUAUACGUGAUUUAAGAUAAUUCUGUGAAGUUUGGUAAGAAACGGAAUCCGUUUGACGUGAUUCGGACCUUAAAUUCAAAAUUUGAUGCUUUAAGAAGUUUUGAAAUAAUCCAUUGAUUUUGAGGUUUAAUUCGAUGUUAAUGAUGUUAUUUUGGUGAUUUGAUCGCACGGAUAAGUCCAUAUGAUAUUUUUGAGUUAGUACGUAUGUUUAGUUUGGAGCCCCGAGGGCUCGGGUGAGUUUCGGAUGUGUUUUGGAAGGUUUUUGGAACUCAAAAAAUUGCAAGUUUUUCAGUUCUGGUGUGCUGAUAUUUUCUUCUUCGCGUUCGCGGGAGGACCCCCGCGAACGCGAUGAGCUAUUCAUGCUGAAGGAAAAUUCCUUCUACACGAACGCGAGAACCAGGUCGCGAACACGAAGCAUUGGGGGGUCUUCCUUUCGCGAACGCGGGCCUGGUAUUGCGAACACAAAGGCUUAUAACCUGGGCAGGGGGAGGGGUACUAUACCCUACGCGAACGCGACCACCUGGACGCGAACGUGAAGGCUCUAGGAGCUGAAGCUCCGCGAACGCGAGUCGUUUAACGAGAACGCGAAUGUCACUUAAGCUAGCUUCAUCGCGAACACGAAAGGCCUAUCGCAAACGCGAUGAAGUCCUGUCCAGUGAUUUUAAAACAGAACCAAAAAAACGGGAUUUAGCCAAAAUUUCAUAACUUCUUCUCUUCAACUCCAAAUUGGGCAAUUUUUGAAAGGGGAUUUCACCACCAAUUCAUAGGUAUGUAAUCUUAGACUCAUUUUCUUCAAUUUCCAUUAACACCCAUUAGAUUUCUAAGCCUAAAUCAUGUGAUUAAGGGUAGAAAAUUAGAGAUUUGGGUAGAGUUGGGCUUUUUGAUUAUUUGGGAAUUUGACCUCGUUUUGGGGUCGUAUUUCAAAAUAAAUUAUAUAUUCGGGCUCGUGUGUGAAUGGGUGAUCGGAUUUUGGUCUGAACCUCAUGUUUUGACCAGCGGGCCCGGGGUCGAUUUUUGACUUUUUGGGAAGAAUGAUGGGACAGCUAUAAUUAAGCAUUGAAGUUGGAUUGUUUAGUGUUUAUUGAUGUUAUUAAGUCGAUUAUGUCUAGAUACAAUUGAUUUGGAGCUGAAUUCGAAAGGAAAAGUGGUGUUUGAGGCUUGAGUUGGACGUGGAAGUUCGAGGUAAGUGUUUGGUCUAACCUUAGCUUGAGGGAUUAGGAGUUGUGUCCUAUUUGCUAUUUGCUUCUUGUUGAGUACGACGUAUAGGCAUGGUGACGAGUAUCUAUACGUUAGUGUCGAGCAUGACCGUGAGUCUUAAAUUGCAAUUUAUUUUGUGUUCUCAAAUAGUACUAAAGAUGCUUUAAUUGAUGAUUCUCGAUAUUGAGCAAGGAUUAAGUUUGUUUUUGUGGAAAUUACUUAUGAUUGGGUAUUGGUGUUAGCUGAGAUGAGUAGAAGUUGGGUUAAGAUUGGUUAUAGUUGUUUCUUCCUUGCCAGGACAUAUUUACUUUUACUGUCGAAUCCCUUACCGGGAUAGUGUAGUUUAUUGUUGAUCCCUUGUUGGGAAUCUUGGUAUGGUUGUUGUUAAAGGUAUAUAAAUAUAUGGAUCAGUUUGCAUGCCGCAAUAAUACUAUAGCUAAAUCGGGUUGCACGCCGCAACAAUUUUAUAUUGGGUCGGGUUGCACGCCGCAACAAUGUUAUAUUGGAUCGGGUUGCACACCGCAACAAUGUUAUAUUGGAUUGGGUUGCACGCCACAAUGUUAUAUUGGAUCGGGUUGCACGCCGCAAUAAUGUUAUAUUGGAUCAGGUUUCACGCCACAACAGUGUUAAAUGAUAGGAAUCGGGUUGCGCGCCGCAACAGUGUUAUUAUGGUUUUUGUUGUAAAUCUUGAAUUGUUCUCUCAUAUUUCUCUUAAGUUUCUACUAGAUUAAAUAUUUCCCCCGUAGCAUGUACCCCNNNNNNNNNNNNNNNNNNNNNNNNACUUACCAGCACAUGGGGUUGGUUGUGCUGAUGCUACACUCUACACUAUGUGCAGAUUCUGGUGCAGCUUUUGGACAGUAGCACUUGGGGAGCCUACCUUCAGUCCAACCAGAGAUCCCGAGGUAGUCCUCAGGCGUCUGCAGGCCCGGUGUUCUCUUCUACCUUGUUAUGUACUCUGUUUUCAUUAGAUUUCGAGAUAGAUUGUAUUUGUUUCAGACAUUUGUAUGUAGUACUCAUAGACCGUCCGUGAAUAUUGUGACACCAGAUUUUGGGUAGGGGAGUAUAUGGGCAUUGUAGUACUAGCUUGGUUAUUUUUAGCUAUUUAAGUCUAUCGCUUGUUCUAUUUAUCGUCAAUAUUUAAAUGUUAAUUACCUAUUAAUUCAAAAUCAUAAAAAGGAUUAAAAUGAAAGAGUUAGAAUUUCUAUAUGUCGCAGCUUGCCUAGCUUCUACGAGUAUGCGCCAUCACGACUCCCAAGAGUGGAAAAUCCGGGUCGUGACAAGUUGUAUCAGAGCUCUAGGUUACAUAGGUCUCACAAUUCAUGGGCAAGCUUAGUAGACUCUGAGGGAUAGGUACGAAGACAUCUGUAUUUAUCUCCUAGAGGCUACAGAGUUAGGAAAAACCUCAUAUUUAUUCUUUCCUGUCGUGCGAUUUGGUUUCUCAAAGCUAAUUGAAUUUUUACUCUGUUCUUUCGCAGAUGGAGAGAACAUGCGCUUCCUCAUCCACUGACCAGCAGCCCGAGCCCCCAGCAGCAUCUCCCACGAGGGGUAGAGGGCGAGGACGAGGUCGUGCUAGAGGCUGAGGUUGGGGCAGAGCUCAGCAUAGGGCAUCAGUACCCGCAGUGGAGCCUCAGGUUGACUUUGAUGAUGAGGUUCCGGCCCUAGUAGUUCUGGUAGGCUCAGCUCAGGUCCUAGAGGGGUUUAUUGCUACCCUAGUACUUCAGGAUGCUCUAGUCCGUCUAGUGGGCCUUAUGGAGAGUGUCACACGGGCAGGCUUGCUUCCUAUAUCACCAGCCAUCUCUCAGGUUGGAGGAGGAGCCCAGACUCCUACUACUCAUACCCUGGAGCAGGUAGUUCCCCAGUUCCAAAUCCAGCGGUUCAGCCGGGUGUGGUAGCUCAGACCGGUGAUAGAGCAGUUAUGUCUACCGAUGCCUUGUGGAGGUUGGAUAGGUUUACCAAACUCUUUACUACUACUUUUAGCGGUGUAUCUACCAAGGAUCCCCAGGAUUAUCUAGAUAGCUGUUAUGAGGUUCUCAGGAACAUGGGGAUAGUUGAGACCAAUGGGGUCAAUUUUGCCACUUUUCUCUUAUCUGGAUCUUCCAAGAUUUGGUGAAGGGAUUUCUAUUUGGCUAGACCAACCGGAUCGCCAGCUUUUAUUUGGGAGUAGUUUACUCAGCUAUUUAUGGAGAAGUUUCUCCCCAUCACUCAGAGAGAGUCCUAUCGGAGGCAGUUUGAGCGUAUCCAACAGGGUUCCAUGACUGUUACCCAGUAUGAGACCAGAUUCAUCGACCUAUCUCGUCAUGCUCUUGUCAUACUUCCCACCGAGAGAGAGAGGGUAAUGAGGUUCAUUGAUGGACUUAUUCAGCCGAUUCGUCUUCAAAUGGCUAGGGAGACUAGGUGUGAGAUAACUUUCCAGGAGGCAGCCAAUAUGUCCAGGAGAGUGGAGAUGGUUCUGUCGCAGGGAGGUAGUCAUGGGUCGGACAAGAGGCCCCGUCAUUCAGGUAGAUUCAGUGGUGCCUCAUCUGGAGGCAGGGAUUCGUAUGGUAGAGGCCAUCCUCCUAGGCCCUUUCAGUCAGCACUUCAGGUUUCUCAUGGUGCUUCAGGUGGCCGUGGUUCUCACAUGUAGUAUUCGGAUCAGCAUCCCUACAGUGUGCACUACCAACUCCUAUUAGUGCAUCGCUGCUCCAGAGUUUUUAGGGUGGUCAUUCAGGUCGCCAGGGUCAGUCUCAGUUUCCUCAGCCACAGCACUCAGGUGGAUGCUUUGAGUGUGGUGAGUAUGGUCAUAUCCGGAGGGCUUGUCCAAGAUUGGUGGGUACUCAAUCGUAGCAGCAGGGUUCCCAUGCUAUGGUUCAGGAACCAGGUGUUCCACAUCCCACCCAGCCAGCUAGAGGUGGGGGUAGAGGUGCUAAAGGUGGAGGUAGAGGUGCUAGAGGUGGAGGCUAGCUAGCUGCAGGCCAUCCCAGAGAUGUAGUCCAGGGUGGUGGGCCCAGCCUCGAUGUUAUGCUCUUCCAGCCAGGCCCGAGGCUAAGGCUUCAGAUGUAGUUAUUACAGGUACAGUUCUGGUUUGUGAUAGAGAUGCUUCAGUGUUAUUCAAUCCAGGGUCUACGUACUCGUAUGUGUCAUCUUAUUUUACACUGUAUCUGGUCAUGCCUAGUAAUUCUUUGAGUACCCAUGUUUAUGUGUCUACACCGGUGGGUGAUUCUAUUGUGGUAGAUUGACUCCAUCGUUCAUGUAUAGUUGUGAUUGGGGGUCUUGAGACUCGCGUAGAUUUGCUUCUUUUGGACAUGGUUGAUUUCGAUGUCAUAUUGGGGAUGGACUGGUUAUCACCUUACCACGCUAUCUUGGACUGUCAUGCCAAGAAUGUGACCUUAGCCUUACGGGUUUACCUUGUUUAGAUUGGAGAGGAACUCCUAGUCAUUCUACCCGUAGUGUUAUCUCUUAUGUGAAGGCUCGGCGUAUAGUCGAGAAGGGGUGUUUAGCCUAUUUGGCAUAUGUUCGUGAUUCUAGUGCUGAGGUUUCUUCUAUUGAUUUUGUGCCCGUUGUUCAUAAGUUUCCAGAGGUUUUCCCUUCAAACCUUCCGGGUAUGCCACCCGACAAGGAUAUUGACUUUUGCAUUGAUUUGGCUCCGGGCACUCAGCCCAUUUCUAUCCUGCUAUAUCAUAUGGCCCCGCCUGAGUUGAAAAGGUUGAAGGAGCAGUUGCAAGACUUGCUUGAGAAGGGUUUCAUUAGGCCGAGUGUCUCGCCUUGGGGUACGCCGAUGUUGUUUGUUAAGAAGAAGGAUGGGUCAAUGAGAAUGUGUAUUGAUUACCGGCAGUUGAACAAGGUUACAAUCAAGAAUAAGUAUCUAUUACCGAGGAUUGAUGAUUUGUUUGAUCAGCUUCAGGGUGCCAAGGUAUUUUCGAAGAUUGACUUGAGAUCUGGCUACCAUCAGUUGAGGAUCAGGGCAUCUGAUGUCCCUAAGACAGCUUUUCGCACUCGGUACGGGCACUAUAAGCUCUUGGUGAUGUCAUUCGGGUUGACAAAUGCCCGAGCAGCUUUAAUGGAUCUGAUGAACCAAUUGUUCAGGCCUUACUUGGAUUCGUUCGUGAUAGUCUUCAUUGAUGAUAUUUUGAUUUAUUCCCGCAGCCGGGAGGAGCACGAGAAGAAUCUUAGAGUGGUUCUUCAGACCUUGAGGGAUAGUCGGUUAUAUGCUAAGUUCUCGAAGUGUGAGUUAUGUCACACCUCCAUUUUCCUACACCCCCGGAAGGGAGUAUAUAAGGGAGUUUUUCCAACUUAAAGUGACAAUCGAAAUAGAAUUAUUUAUUUAUUAAAUUCAGAGUCGCCACUUGGGAUAAUUUUAUAGUAUCCCAAGUCAUUGGUUCAAAUCCCAAAUCGAGGAAAAGAUUGACUCUAUUUUACAGUCCGCGAACACAGAAAUCCGGGUAAGAAAUUAUGUUAACUCGGGAGAAGGUGUUAGGCAUUCCCGAAUUCCGUGAUUCUAGCACGGUCGCUCAACUGUUAUAAUUGGCCUAUUAUCUGAUUCUAAUACAUGUUUUAGCCUAUGGUACAACUUUAACUUUAUAACCGCUUUUAUUUAAUAUUUUUUUAGGAAGAUUUCAACGUUAUUUUAAAAUACGUCUUGAGCCACGUCACAUAAAUGUACCCGCGGUCCCCGACAUAUUUUAUCUAACAUUGUUGAGAUUUGGAUUUGGGUCACAUAAAUGCACACCCGAGUUUAGGAAGGUAAUUUUUAAAAUAGCGCGCCUAAAGUAAGCUACGAUGCCCAUUAAUUAUUUUCCUAAAGCUAAUUUGAAAUUGUUGAGAAGGCUAUUAAUUAUGGAUAAGCAUUGUAGGCAAGCGUGUUUCAGCUACUUGGUAUACUCAAGCAAUAUUUGCACGGCACAAUGAAAGAAAAAAGGUUGCUGAAUUUGUUCAAACUUGGUAUCAUUCUAAGCCCAAAUCACCGUAACUUUUUCUUUUCUUUUCUUUUUAUUUGUUUGAUCUUAAGGAAAUCCACGCCUAAUUGCUUUCCAUUACCAUAAUUGACAUCUUCAUACUUAUUCAAUUAAAACAUAGUUAAGCUAGUUGUAAAUGAAUAAACAAAUUAAAAUAGAAUACUAAAUAAUUACAGAACACCAUCAAAAGAAAACUAAACAACUUAUGCAUAAGGAUCACUUCAUUCAUUCAUGCUUCAAUAGUGUAACAGAACGAGGAAAAGAAUUAGAACCUGGAAUAACAAAGCUCAUUUGAUAUAAAAUAAACCAGUGAGCAAAACUCAGAAAUUGGUAUCAUACAACAAUCUUUCAAGUAUUCAAGAACCAAAAAGCCUAUUGUCAACCAAAAUCGUGACGAAACCUCGAUCUCAAACUUACCGGAGCUCGACGAACCUUGUAUAUACUCAACUGGGUUUGGACAUUUUAAUGGCUGAGAUUUGACUAUUUUCGAAUUGUAUUCAGCUCAGUUUUUAAGUUCUUUCUUCUUCUUUUUUUGAGGUUUUUGAGUGUUUUCUAUGGAAGUUGUGGCUGCAAUUUUGGUUAAGGAAGGAAAACUCCCCCGAUUGUGUGAUGGGUGUGUGCUUCUUUUUAAAUGAAAAUUCUAAGAAGCUCGAGUCAGAGGGUGGGGAGGGAGUUUAUGAUAGGAAACGGC
rnacentral:lncRNA from 1 species